rnacentral:rRNA from 1 species
AUAAUGGGUCAGCGACUUAUAUUCUGUAGCAAGGUUAACCGAAUAGGGGAGCCGAAGGGAAACCGAGUCUUAACUGGGCGUUAAGUUGCAGGGUAUAGACCCGAAACCCGGUGAUCUAGCCAUGGGCAGGUUGAAGGUUGGGUAACACUAACUGGAGGACCGAACCGACUAAUGUUGAAAAAUUAGCGGAUGACUUGUGGCUGGGGGUGAAAGGCCAAUCAAACCGGGAGAUAGCUGGUUCUCCCCGAAAGCUAUUUAGGUAGCGCCUCGUGAAUUCAUCUCCGGGGGUAGAGCACUGUUUCGGCAAGGGGGUCAUCCCGACUUACCAACCCGAUGCAAACUGCGAAUACCGGAGAAUGUUAUCACGGGAGACACACGGCGGGUGCUAACGUCCGUCGUGAAGAGGGAAACAACCCAGACCGCCAGCUAAGGUCCCAAAGUCAUGGUUAAGUGGGAAACGAUGUGGGAAGGCCCAGACAGCCAGGAUGUUGGCUUAGAAGCAGCCAUCAUUUAAAGAAAGCGUAAUAGCUCACUGGUCGAGUCGGCCUGCGCGGAAGAUGUAACGGGGCUAAACCAUGCACCGAAGCUGCGGCAGCGACGCUUAUGCGUUGUUGGGUAGGGGAGCGUUCUGUAAGCCUGCGAAGGUGUGCUGUGAGGCAUGCUGGAGGUAUCAGAAGUGCGAAUGCUGACAUAAGUAACGAUAAAGCGGGUGAAAAGCCCGCUCGCCGGAAGACCAAGGGUUCCUGUCCAACGUUAAUCGGGGCAGGGUGAGUCGACCCCUAAGGCGAGGCCGAAAGGCGUAGUCGAUGGGAAACAGGUUAAUAUUCCUGUACUUGGUGUUACUGCGAAGGGGGGACGGAGAAGGCUAUGUUGGCCGGGCGACGGUUGUCCCGGUUUAAGCGUGUAGGCUGGUUUUCCAGGCAAAUCCGGAAAAUCAAGGCUGAGGCGUGAUGACGAGGCACUACGGUGCUGAAGCAACAAAUGCCCUGCUUCCAGGAAAAGCCUCUAAGCAUCAGGUAACAUCAAAUCGUACCCCAAACCGACACAGGUGGUCAGGUAGAGAAUACCAAGGCGCUUGAGAGAACUCGGGUGAAGGAACUAGGCAAAAUGGUGCCGUAACUUCGGGAGAAGGCACGCUGAUAUGUAGGUGAAGUCCCUCGCGGAUGGAGCUGAAAUCAGUCGAAGAUACCAGCUGGCUGCAACUGUUUAUUAAAAACACAGCACUGUGCAAACACGAAAGUGGACGUAUACGGUGUGACGCCUGCCCGGUGCCGGAAGGUUAAUUGAUGGGGUCAGCGCAAGCGAAGCUCUUGAUCGAAGCCCCGGUAAACGGCGGCCGUAACUAUAACGGUCCUAAGGUAGCGAAAUUCCUUGUCGGGUAAGUUCCGACCUGCACGAAUGGCGUAAUGAUGGCCAGGCUGUCUCCACCCGAGACUCAGUGAAAUUGAACUCGCUGUGAAGAUGCAGUGUACCCGCGGCAAGACGGAAAGACCCCGUGAACCUUUACUAUAGCUUGACACUGAACAUUGAGCCUUGAUGUGUAGGAUAGGUGGGAGGCUUUGAAGUGUGGACGCCAGUCUGCAUGGAGCCGACCUUGAAAUACCACCCUUUAAUGUUUGAUGUUCUAACGUUGACCCGUAAUCCGGGUUGCGGACAGUGUCUGGUGGGUAGUUUGACUGGGGCGGUCUCCUCCUAAAGAGUAACGGAGGAGCACGAAGGUUGGCUAAUCCUGGUCGGACAUCAGGAGGUUAGUGCAAUGGCAUAAGCCAGCUUGACUGCGAGCGUGACGGCGCGAGCAGGUGCGAAAGCAGGUCAUAGUGAUCCGGUGGUUCUGAAUGGAAGGGCCAUCGCUCAACGGAUAAAAGGUACUCCGGGGAUAACAGGCUGAUACCGCCCAAGAGUUCAUAUCGACGGCGGUGUUUGGCACCUCGAUGUCGGCUCAUCACAUCCUGGGGCUGAAGUAGGUCCCAAGGGUAUGGCUGUUCGCCAUUUAAAGUGGUACGCGAGCUGGGUUUAGAACGUCGUGAGACAGUUCGGUCCCUAUCUGCCGUGGGCGCUGGAGAACUGAGGGGGGCUGCUCCUAGUACGAGAGGACCGGAGUGGACGCAUCACUGGUGUUCGGGUUGUCAUGCCAAUGGCACUGCCCGGUAGCUAAAUGCGGAAGAGAUAAGUGCUGAAAGCAUCUAAGCACGAAACUUGCCCCGAGAUGAGUUCUCCCUGACUCCUUGAGAGUCCUGAAGGAACGUUGAAGACGACGACGUUGAUAGGCCGGGUGUGUAAGCGCAGCGAUGCGUUGAGCUAACCGGUACUAAUGAACCGUGAGGCUUAACCUU